GCUCGGAAAAUUAUGUAUGUAAUAGCUAAAACUUGUCAGAACUGGAAAGUAGCAGCAACAAAGCUAAAUUGCAUAGUUGUAUUUUUCCGGGUUUUUUUUUGCUCUGUGAUAUCUAUAUUUAAAAUUAAAAUUUCGAAUAUUUAUCAAAACUUCAGUUGACCAUGUAAAAAUACCUACUAUAAGAUAAACACAUUAAAACUGAGUCUUUAAUUAGAAAUAUUUAAUGCAAAAUAUUAGU
rnacentral:RNase_P_RNA from 1 species